rnacentral:rRNA from 1 species
UACGUAGGUGGCGAGCGUUGUCCGGAUUUACUGGGCGUAAAGGGAGCGUAGGCGGACUUUUAAGUGAGAUGUGAAAUACCCGGGCUCAACUUGGGUGCUGCAUUUCAAACUGGAAGUCUAGAGUGCAGGAGAGGAGAAUGGAAUUCCUAGUGUAGCGGUGAAAUGCGUAGAGAUUAGGAAGAACACCAGUGGCGAAGGCGAUUCUCUGGACUGUAACUGACGCUGAGGCUCGAAAGCGUGGGGAGCAAACGGAUUAGAUACCCGCGUA